UAUAGAUAAACUAAAUGUUACAUUAUUAAUUAUGUAUUAAAGUCCUAAUCUCAGGUGAAAAUGCCAAUGCAUUCAGAAUUUAGAUGAAGGGAGAGCGAAAAGUAAAUUGGAGGAGCAAUGAUAUAUCAAACGUCGUCGCUUAUGUUUUUUUUUUAUUAUUAUUAUUUUUUAUUUUUUAUCUACAUAUCCAGCCUACUGUCUUAAGCUUGCUUCAUCCAAAGAGAACUUAUUGUCAAACCCUAGAGAAGGAGAUUGGGUUGAAGAGCACGUAAUAUUAACGAUCGGGAGAUAAGUCUCUCGAAUGCGGGAAUUAGGUUGUGUACAUCUAAUCUUCUCCCGACUCUGCAGAGGUAGGAGGCUGCACUAUGGAAGUGCCCUCAAGGUAUGUAUUAACACACCACAUGCAUUUUUUGGGGUCCUGAGGCUCCUGUGGGUUGGUCAAGAGAAUUGUUUAAGGAUCUCCUACCGUGCAUUCAUCAUAACGACACAAAUCACAACAAUUUCAACAACUCCACCAAUGACCAAACAUCCACGUACAUUUUCAGAUUAAGGACUUGGGUCCUAGUGACAAGGGAGCUAUAUUAUCAAAAAGGGGACCAUAGGACAAUGAAUUUUCCUAUAGUCCAAAAGUAUUCUGCAGUUACUAUCAAAUUGUGAUUCAAAUUGGGCAAGUUGUCCCUUGACUAUACAGAAGAGAACAAGCACUGGGACAUGUAAGGCAAUAGCCCUAUCUCUUCAGAGGCUUGAAGUUGAAGCCAAUUCACUGUCACACCCUCUUCCGCUGAAUCUGAGUAUUGUUUUAUGUUAAUUUCGUCCGUGAAAUCACAUGCAUGGUUGUGCAGUACCCUCUAUUUGAUAUUAGCAUUCCUAACUAUGAGCCUAUGCUACUCUAUUGUUGUGAUAUAUUCGUUUUUACAUGAGAUAGUCUCUCGCAUGCGGAAAUAAGGUUGUGUACAUCUAAUCUUCUCCCGACUCUGCAGUGGUAGGAGGCUCGUGCACUGGGUAACCCUACGUGGCUGAUAAUUGCUAUAACAACUUUAAUACUGAAAAACACAUCACAUGCAUUGUUUGGGGUCCUGUGGGUUGGUGGUGGACCUCACCCUACCAUGCCGUGGCUGCAAUUCAAGCAAUUAUUAUUGUAGUGUUUUAUAAGAUAUACUAGACAUGAAACUUUUCUUAGUUUUAGCAAACUUUAUUAAUAGAACAUAAGGAGCAGUAAUAAUCAAAUGUCACAAGUUGAUGCUGCCAAAAACAUCAUGGUCAUGGUUGUCAACUUAAUGACCACAUGCCAAGUUCUCAUCAAAUGAAUCUGAUGCAGCCUUCUACGGUGUUCAACAAUCAUUUUGUGUGUGUAAGAAGGGAGAGUUUGUUUGUUUGUGUUUUUUUUUUUUUU